AUUGGGGGGAAAUGAUUCAGUUUUCAAACAAAUUGCUUCUCGAAUAGCCUUCUGGCAUGAAUUAAGUUCAAGAACUGCAGUUUCAAUGUAUUCGGGAACUCACUGAAUUAUUCUAAAGCUCAAUUAUUUCACAAUCAAAAGUAGUGUAUCUCGUAACACAUUAUCUAGGAUGAGUUCUGGAAUGGGACAUGACAUCUUUUUCUAAAAAUUGUAGAAUCCAUUUUAUACAUAAAGGUUUAAACCUUGCGUCUGCUCUCUUCUUGCUCAGAUUUUGAAAAAUAAUUUUAGCAAAUACUUAGUUUCUUUUGAACACAAAACCCUUUGGAACUCCUUUUGAUUGGCCCAUCCCAAAGUCAAAGCUAUACUAUUUUCCUAAGCCCUAACAUUCGUAUUCUGAUUUCUCAUAAUUGGCCCACAUUUUCUUAUUUGGUCUUACCUUGUGAACAGUGGGUGGGGUUCCUCUUCCAAUUAGACCAAGGUUUUCCUUACAGUUCUAGUCUUCCCUCCCCAAAUGUUCUCUGAAACAUUUCGUUAGAUUUGUGGGAUGUAAGCAAAGUCACUUUAUUUUUUCUAAAUAAAAUUAAUCUGACUCUAAGCCUCUUCCUGUUGAGGCAACAGGAAAUUCAGUCGGUGAUUAUUUCCAUCAGUUCACAGAUGUAUAAAAGUCUUAGAGGAAGGUUAUACAAAGCAACAUUCGGGGAGAUCCCUGGUCUUCAGUCAUUCGACAAAUGUUUAAGUGCCUGCUGUACCAGUUCUGGAGGUGAGAAAUCCAAAAUCAUUUUACUGCACAAAAGUCAGUGUUGACAGGACAAGGACCUCAGUCCUAUAGCUUCAAGGAACUGAAUUCUGCCAACAACCAGUGAGCUUAGAAGAGCAUUGUAAAUCGCAGAUGAGAUAGCAGCCCAGGCUGACAUGUUGACUGCAGCCUUGUGAGAUCCCGAACAGAGUACUCAGCCAAGCUGUGCCUGGAUUCCAGACCCAUGGAAACUGUUGCAACAGUUUUCAGAAAUGAUCAGAGUCCAGUGACAAGCAACAAAACCCGUGGUCUGAGUCUCACUCCCAUUUCCUGGUGUCUUCAUCUUCCUCCCCAUUUGUCUUCCCAUCAUUGCUGUUCUGUGUACCAAGCCAAGAGCCCAGAAAUAUCUGACUAAAACAAGUCAAGUGUUCACAUAUGUUGAUUUCCAAAAAAGCCAACCAAAACAGAAAUGAACUAAAAAGGACAAAAUAUUAAAAAUUCUUCUAAAUCAUUUACUUUUCAAUGGGCCUCCAUUUUGGAUUUCUAGUAUAUGUUCUUUCUGAAGCUCCUGUCUUCCAGGCUCACAGAAUCUGCAGUGGCAGCAUUUAUCUUUUUGAGUGUGUCCAAGUUUAAGGUUUGAAGUAAUUAUGAAGAACAUCUGACUAGGAGAAAAACAAAAGCCAAUAAGAAAACUUGUGAAAAGGGGAGAAAAGUCAAGUAUGGUCGGCCCUGAUAUGUACCAUGAAGAGCCCUCUUCAAGGAAAGAUUUGCUGACCAGCAGUAGGAAAUGCAACCAGUAGACAGCCUCCAGCUGUCAGCUUCUUCAGGAGCUGCCUCAGCUGCAGAGUCUCUGCCUGAAGUCAUGCCCAUCUUGGGGCAGUCUGGAUCUGGUGACUGAACAUGGGCUGGUCAUUUUUUUUCAGGGAUAUAAAGUCCCAGGCAGUUAUUUUGGGACAAUGCCAAAGGACAUUUUUCACUCCAGAGCUCCCACUAGGCUGGCCUAUGUUGCAGUUUGACUUUUCCCUCUGCCAAUCCUGCUCCCCCCACUUUCUGUCACGGGUGUUGAUUUUAAUAAACAUCUUGUGCCCAAAA